rnacentral:rRNA from 1 species
GCAGUAGCCGCGGUAAAACAGAGGGUGCGAGCGUUAAUCGGAUUUACUGGGCGUAAAGCGUGCGUAGGCGGCUAAUUGAGUCGGAUGUGAAAUCCCCGAGCUUAACUUGGGAAUUGCAUUCGAUACUGGUUAGCUAGAGUGUGGGAGAGGAUGGUAGAAUUCCAGGUGUAGCGGUGAAAUGCGUAGAGAUCUGGAGGAAUACCGAUGGCGAAGGCAGCCAUCUGGCCUAACACUGACGCUGAGGUACGAAAGCAUGGGGAGCAAACAGGAUUAGAUACCCCAGUAGUCCCUGUCUCUUAUAC